CUUAAUAGAUGGGCAAAUUUUCAAAUAUAUAAAUAUAAAAUGUGCAACAAGAAAUUUAUCAAAAAAAAAGCCGGGAGCAGUGCAAUAACAAGGCCACAAGGCUACUGUGCCUUAGUUAAUAUAAUUGCAAUAUAAUUGGAAUUCGGUAAUUAUGAUUGUCUAUUGCUACAAAGGCGCUGCUAUAAUAAUAAGCACAGUGGUGAUUCUACUAUUUAAGUGGGAAGUUGGCACUAAUCUUCAAAUUGUUGUUGGGAUAUGUGCAAUUAUUCUUCUUUCUGGACUGCAGGUCCAACCAACGCAAUAACCGGUGUGUUCGUGUUAAAAAAUUUGUGCAAUAUGUUUAGAACGUAGUACAAUUUUUUCAAUUUAGUGCAAUAAUGCGAUAUUUUAAUAUCGUACGAUAUUAUCAAUCCGUGCAAUAAGCUCGAUAUUUAAUUAAUUAGAAUUAUGGGCAGUAAUUUUUAGCUGAAAUAAGUGCAAUACAUCUGUGUCUGUGUGUGCAAUAUUCUUUACGGUCUUUAAGGCUUUUAAUGUGCAAUAAAUAAUUUCUCUGUA